GGGGAUUUAGCUCAGUGGUAGAGCGCUUGCCUAGCAAGCACAAGGCCCUAGGUUCAGUCCCCA
rnacentral:tRNA from 1 species